CCAAUAGCGUAUAUUAAAGUUGUUGUGGUUAAAAAGCUCGUAGUUGAACCUUGGGCCUGGCUGGCCGGUCCGCCUCACCGCGUGUACUGGUCCGGCCGGGCCUUUCCCUCUGUGGAACCUCAUGCCCUUCACUGGGCGUGACGGGGAAACAGGACUUUUACUGUGAAAAAAUUAGAGUGCUCCAGGCAGGCCUAUGCUCGAAUACAUUAGCAUGGAAUAAUGAAAUAGGACGUGCGGUUCUAUUUUGUUGGUUUCUAGGACCGCCGUAAUGAUUAAUAGGGACAGUCGGGGGCAUCAGUAUUCAAUUGUCAGAGGUGAAAUUCUUGGAUUUAUUGAAGACUAACUACUGCGAAAGCAUUUGCCAAGGAUGUUUUCAUUAAUCAGGAACGAAAGUUAGGGGAUCGAAGACGAUCAGAUACCGCCCUAGUUCUAACCAUAAACGAUGCCGACCGGCGAUCCGCUGUCGUUACUUGAAUGACUCAGCGGGCAGCCUCCG
rnacentral:misc_RNA from 1 species